rnacentral:rRNA from 1 species
CCUACGGGAGGCAGCAGUGGGGAAUAUUGGGCAAUGGGCGCAAGCCUGACCCAGCAACGCCGCGUGAAGGAAGAAGGCUUUCGGGUUGUAAACUUCUUUUCUCAGGGACGAAGCAAGUGACGGUACCUGAGGAAUAAGCCACGGCUAACUACGUGCCAGCAGCCGCGGUAAUACGUAGGUGGCAAGCGUUAUCCGGAUUUACUGGGUGUAAAGGGCGUGUAGGCGGGACUGCAAGUCAGAUGUGAAAACCACGGGCUCAACCUGUGGCCUGCAUUUGAAACUGUAGUUCUUGAGUACUGGUGAGGCAGACGGGAGUCCGAGUGGAGCGGUGAGAUGCGUAGAUAUUAGGAGGAAGACCAGUGGCGAGGGCGGUCUGCUGGACAGCAACUGACGAUGAGGCGCGAAAGCGUGGGGAGCAAACAGGAUUAGAUACCCCUGUAGUC